UGUAGGGUGGUGGAACUGGCAGACGCACCUCCUUGUCUCGGUGGUGGAGAAUAUGGAAAACCUGUAAAGGCUAACCACUCCUUGAAGGUUCGACUCCUUCCCCUACAGCCA
rnacentral:tRNA from 1 species